rnacentral:rRNA from 1 species
CAGAGACUGCAAGCGUUAUUCGGAUUCACUGGGCGUAAAGGGUGCGCAGGCGGCCAAGUGUGUUAGGCGUGAAAGCCCGGAGCUUAACUCCGGAAUUGCACCUAAAACUACAUGGCUAGAGCAUUGGAGAGGGUAGCGGAAUUCACGGUGUAGCAGUGAAAUGCGUAGAUAUCGUGAGGAACACCAGAGGCGAAGGCGGCUACCUGGACAAUUGCUGACGCUCAGGCACGAAAGCGUGGGGGGCAAAAGGGAUUAGAUACCCCUGUAGUCCACGCCCUAAACGGUGCACACUAGGUCUUGGCGGAUUCGACCCCACCAGGGCCCAAGCUAACGCGUUAAGUGUGCCGCCUGAGGACUACGGUCGCAAGACUA